UGCCAGCGCUGACAGCUGUGUUUUAUUAUUGAAUAUUUCUGGUGGCGAGGUUGGCGGCCGCUCUGUUUAUACUGCUCCUAAGACUUCAUGCAAGACUCUGCGAGGUCCUGGGCUUAAACCGAAGUGUCUGACCCCCUGGAUAAUUCAUUCCAUCCCCUUCGUUCCUCAUCUCUUUCUUUUAAUUUUUUUCCCAAGGGCAAAUUGAGCACUGCCAGAAAAUGGAGUCCACAGACAGAGGGAUGCUGGGGACCCCAGGUUGCCUCUUUGGUCCAGGAACGUACAAGGAGACCCGGGAACGCUGCUUCUCCACCAAGCUGCUGGUUCCAAGACUUUUGCCGUUUGCUUCUGGGUGGGUGUAGAACUGGAGUCCACAUAUCAGCCGUGUUCUCCCUAUGCCCUAAGAAAAGAGUGUUUCCAGCGAGCACAUCCAGUGGAAUUCCCAACGCUCUGCCCGGAGUCCGCAACUUUGGGAAGGGGAGUCAAUUUAUCAGGUCACCUCUGGUCUGU
ensembl:lncRNA